rnacentral:rRNA from 1 species
CCUACGGGGGGCAGCAGUGAGGAAUAUUGGUCAAUGGGCGAGAGCCUGAACCAGCCAAGUCGCGUGAGGGAGUACUGCCCUAUGGGUUGUAAACCUCUUUUGUCGGGGAGCAAAAGCCGGACGUGUCCGGCUGUUAGAUUACCCGAAGAAAAAGCAUCGGCUAACUCCGUGCCAGCAGCCGCGGUAAUACGGAGGAUGCGAGCGUUAUCCGGAUUUAUUGGGUUUAAAGGGUGCGCAGGCGGAUUUUUAAGUCAGCGGUCAAAUCGUGGGGCUCAACCCCAUCCAGCCGUUGAAACUGGGGAUCUAGAGUGUGCGAGAGGUAUGCGGAAUGCGUGGUGUAGCGGUGAAAUGCAUAGAUAUCACGCAGAACCCCGAUUGCGAAGGCAGCAUACCGGUGCACAACUGACGCUCAGGCACGAAAGCGUGGGUAUCGAACAGGAUUAGAUACCCUUGUAGUC